rnacentral:lncRNA from 1 species
UAAACUAAAUGAUUGUAAAUGGUGUUUAUGUUCCUCUGCAGAUACUGGCCCAAAACCAAUGUACAUAAAUUAUUUGCAGGUUGUCUGUCCCAACAUCUGUUUGUCUAUUGCAUUUCUUCUGUGGGGAGUUAUUGAAGGUAAGUAUCCUUCUGCAUGUAUUGUUAGGUUAUAUUUACCCAUUUUUCUCUCUCUGUUGAUGACUUUGUUUUGUUGUUUUUUUACUGCUUUGUUCAGGGUCUGUAGUUGAGGUAACGAUGUGUGUGACAAUUAAUCUGAGUCGGAUCAUUUUGUUAUUUCUUAUGGCCCCAUAUUUCAAUUGGAAUACUACUGUUUCUGUUAAUUUUCCAGGUUUCAUCCACAGAAUGAUUGAAUUUGUAGCGAUUCCCAUUGCAUAUCUUCUGAUUUCCACAGCAUUUUGCUCAGCUGUUCUUUAUGAUCUCUGGAAUACAUCUCAGUGGACUGAAGUUGUUCUUGUCAGUGUUGGGAUUAUUCUGCUGUCAUCCAUGCCUGCAAUUUUUCGAGCCUUAAACAACGUUUGCUUCACACAAUUUUUUGAUAUACAUUUGUCAGUGCAAUUUAUUAUAGAGAAGUUAGGACACGUUCUCAUGCAGUCAAGCAACUUUCUUCAAAUGCGUCUUCUCUUCUAUAGAUCAUCAAGUGUUGAUGAAUCCAUGAUUAAAAUUACAUAUGCCUUUGGGGGAAUUUCUGCAGCCAUAUCAUUAAUAGUUCUUCCAAUUCCAGCAAUUCGCCAGUACUUUUGUUCAAAACUGGGCAAAUAUCAACUUUAUGCGCUUAUAUGGAGAUGUUAUUUAGUUUGGGUAAACGUUAUGGUUUUGACUCUCAUCGGGCA